GAUGAACGCUGGCGGCGUGCUUAACACAUGCAAGUCGAACGGAAAGGCUCCUGCUUGCAGGGGUACUCGAGUGGCGAACGGGUGAGUAACACGUGGGUGAUCUGCCCUGCACUUCGGGAUAAGCCUGGGAAACUGGGUCUAAUACCGGAUAGGACGAUGGUUUGGAUGCCAUUGUGGAAAGUUUUUUCGGUGUGGGAUGAGCUCGCGGCCUAUCAGCUUGUUGGUGGGGUAAUGGCCUACCAAGGCGUCGACGGGUAGCCGGCCUGAGAGGGUGUACGGCCACAUUGGGACUGAGAUACGGCCCAGACUCCUACGGGAGGCAGCAGUGGGGAGUAUUGCACAAUGGGCGCAAGCCUGAUGCAGCGACGCCGCGUGGGGGAUGACGGCCUUCGGGUUGUAAACUCCUUUCGCUAGGGACGAAGCGCAAGUGACGGUACCUGGAGAAGAAGCACCGGCUAACUACGUG
rnacentral:rRNA from 1 species